CUAGCUUAGUUACUACAAGACACGCAUCUAAACGGUCGAUGGAACGGAAAAACCUAAAACUCAAAGCGAGCGCGUCUCGUGCACUUAAUAUUUUUAACAUAAAUACACGCUUAAUUGGACUACUUCAACAGUCGAGCAUUGUCUAAAAGCAAAAACGUGUUUCACUAACACUCGCUUGCUGGUGUGCGUGCAUGCGUGUGCGUUUGUUUGUUCUAGUUGCUGCACAAUUGCCUUUUGAAACAAAACAGCGAGCACUUUUGCUUCACACAAUGUGUUGUUGCCAACAUGCUUUACGGUCGCCCAUUGAGCGUAACGACAUUUAGAGAAUUUGUGGGCGUACGCGGCGUAUGAGUGAUACAUUUCUUUUGUUUUGUUAUUAUUUAGCCAAAUACAUUUGUAACACAGAGUGCACAGCAUGAAGUGAAACUGUAGAAGACAAAGCAACAAGCGUUUUUUGUCAAAGAUUAAGAGCAACCAACACAAACAACGACAAAAAAUCAAAAUUAAGCAACAACAAAAUUGAAAAUAGCUGAAGAAAAUUUCCGAAAUCAGCGAAAAGAGCACGAAGAUAGAAAUCUUCGCCCAAAUAGAACAAAAACAACCAACACAAAAGUAACGGUAAAAGUCUCCGGUAACUGGUACAUCACCUAAUCUGCCAACGCUACGGAAGUAAUCAACGCCAACAGGGACAAUAUGACACGCUUUCGACGAAUUGUGCGAAAGCAGUUGACAAUCGAUGCACAUAGCGAUGAGUGGCCCUAUCUACACUAUGCCCGCUUCGUAACCUCUCAAGCGGCUAACAGAGAUAAUGCAAGCACCACCUCCACCAGCGCCACAACCGGUGGCAAUGCGCGAGUGAUGGUCUAUAACUAUGACAUCUACUACUGCCAAGAACCACACUCCAUCAAUCAAGUGCACCGCUAACUCUCCAUGCAGUGCCUGGCAUAGUCUACAAAAGCAUACCCGAUUGGCUGUAUGAAGAUAUAUGUAUAUACACAUAAAUACAACGUGUAAACCAUAAUUGGAAAAUGUGCAGCGUCCAACACGCUCCUCGAUGACCAUUUGCCAGGUCAACCUCUUCACCGGCCUACUCAUCUUUGCUAUUGGUGCUGGCAUUACUACGGCGUCUGCUGCUGAUGCCUACUAUCGUUGCCUGCUUCUUGUAUGUAAUUUAUGGAGGAAAUCCUGCACUCGAAUAACGCAAUUUGGCUUUCGGAGAAUAGACACUUAAUAUUUUAAUUUCAAUGACUCGCUGGUGUAGGAGCAACAUUUCACUUGGUAUGGUACAACAAGUGAUGUCCAUACGAAAUAAGAUUUUUAAGGAUGGUGCCACGAAUCUCUCACAUCCUUCAACUGCGAGUUUUCGUACUCCACGCUGGAAUUGCUCAACGGAGCCCACAUCUGAAUUCACGACGCGGUAGCACAAUAUUGUUGUUUUUCGGAGCACAGGGUGGCUAUUUAGGUGUGGUGAAAAUACUAAUAAAGUCGGUGAUACUCGUAGGGUGAAUAAGCCAUUGGCAAAUGAAUUAUCUCACAGGGUUAUCUCUCCUCCCCACGGCAAAUGCCAAGAUACGAAUUGAUGGAGCUUCACCACCUUCUAUCUGCCUAAAAGGAAUGCUAUUACAAGUGUAAAGUGUUGUUGCAAAAUGGCUGACUGAGGUCUUGAAACACAGAACUAAGUGCCGAUGUGAGAGUUGCAUUGGUAAAAUAUUGGCAAUAUACGCUUUUCAAAAAUCAAGUUUCAGAAUUUCUUUCGAAAACUUAAUAUUAAAAUAGCAUUCUAAUCAAUUAUAAUAUAAUACUUGAAAAUGUAAUUUCUUAAAAAUUCUAUUUAAUUCGCCAAGAAAAGUGUCCAAUGAGAGGUGAUGGGAUUAGUGCAAUAAAGAAAAUAUGAUUAUUUGAAAA
rnacentral:lncRNA from 1 species